CCUACGGGCGGCAGCAGUGGGGAAUAUUGGACAAUGGGCGAAAGCCUGAUCCAGCCAUGCCGCGUGUGUGAAGAAGGCCUUCGGGUUGUAAAGCACUUUCAGUGGGGAAGAAAGCCUUGGGGCUAAUACCCUCGAGGAAGGACAUCACCCACAGAAGAAGCACCGGCUAACUCCGUGCCAGCAGCCGCGGUAAUACGGAGGGUGCGAGCGUUAAUCGGAAUUACUGGGCGUAAAGCGCGCGUAGGCGGUCUGAUAAGCCGGUUGUGAAAGCCCCGGGCUCAACCUGGGAACGGCAUCCGGAACUGGCAGGCUAGAGUGCAGGAGAGGAAGGUAGAAUUCCCGGUGUAGCGGUGAAAUGCGUAGAGAUCGGGAGGAAUACCAGUGGCGAAGGCGGCCUUCUGGACUGACACUGACGCUGAGGUGCGAAAGCGUGGGUAGCAAACAGGAUUAGAUACCCGGGUAGUC
rnacentral:rRNA from 1 species